UAGAGUUUGAUCCUGGCUCAGGAUGAACGCUAGCGACAGGCCUAACACAUGCAAGUCGAGGGGCAUCGGGGCGAGGAGCAAUCCUUGCCGCCGGCGACCGGCGCACGGGUGAGUAACGCGUAUGCGACCUGCCCGUUGCAGGGGGAUAAUCGGGAGAAAUCCCGUCUAAUACCGCGUAAUGCCGCGGGGCUGCAUGGCCCUGCGGCCAAAGGGAGCGAUUCCGGCAACGGAUGGGCAUGCGUGACAUUAGCUAGUUGGCGGGGCAACGGCCCACCAAGGCGACGAUGUCUAGGGGUUCUGAGAGGAAGGUCCCCCACACUGGUACUGAGACACGGACCAGACUCCUACGGGAGGCAGCAGUGAGGAAUAUUGGUCAAUGGGCGCGAGCCUGAACCAGCCAAGUCGCGUGAGGGAUGACGGCCCUACGGGUUGUAAACCUCUUUUGUCGGGGAGCAAAUUCCGCCACGUGUGGCGGAGUCGAGAGUACCCGAAGAAAAAGCAUCGGCUAACUCCGUGCCAGCAGCCGCGGUAAUACGGAGGAUGCGAGCGUUAUCCGGAUUUAUUGGGUUUAAAGGGUGCGUAGGCGGACUGUCAAGUCAGCGGUAAAAUACGGGGGCUCAACCUCCGCCCGCCGUUGAAACUGACGGUCUUGAGUGGGCGAGAAGUAUGCGGAAUGCGUGGUGUAGCGGUGAAAUGCAUAGAUAUCACGCAGAACUCCGAUUGCGAAGGCAGCAUACCGGCGCCCAACUGACGCUGAAGCACGAAAGCGUGGGUAUCGAACAGGAUUAGAUACCCUGGUAGUCCACGCAGUAAACGAUGAAUACUAGCUGUCCGGGGCGAAUGAGCCCUGGGUGGCACAGCGAAAGCGUUAAGUAUUCCACCUGGGGAGUACGCCGGCAACGGUGAAACUCAAAGGAAUUGACGGGGGCCCGCACAAGCGGAGGAACAUGUGGUUUAAUUCGAUGAUACGCGAGGAACCUUACCCGGGCUCAAACGACACAGGAACGUACCUGAAAGGGUUCGGCUCUACGGAGCCUGUGUCGAGGUGCUGCAUGGUUGUCGUCAGCUCGUGCCGUGAGGUGUCGGCUUAAGUGCCAUAACGAGCGCAACCCCCAUCGACAGUUGCUAACAGGUCAGGCUGAGGACUCUGUCGAGACUGCCGGCGCAAGCUGCGAGGAAGGCGGGGAUGACGUCAAAUCAGCACGGCCCUUACGUCCGGGGCGACACACGUGUUACAAUGGCAGGUACAGCGGGAAGCCACCUGGCGACAGGGAGCGGAACCCGAAAGCCUGUCUCAGUUCGGAUUGGAGUCUGCAACCCGACUCCAUGAAGCUGGAUUCGCUAGUAAUCGCGCAUCAGCCACGGCGCGGUGAAUACGUUCCCGGGCCUUGUACACACCGCCCGUCAAGCCAUGGAAGCCGGGGGUGCCUGAAGUGCGCUGCCGCGAGGAGCGCCCUAGGGUAAAACCGGUGACUGGGGCUAAGUCGUAACGAGGUAACCGUA
rnacentral:rRNA from 1 species